GGGCCCUUAGCUCAGUUGGUAGAGCAUCUGACUUUUAAUCAGGUGGUCGAAGGUUCGAAUCCUUCAGGGCCCACCA
rnacentral:tRNA from 2 species